AUCCAUGAGGGCCCAUUAUGUAGUGACAUAGCGACGGGAGAAAGGGAGGGUAGUGCCAAAAAUUCUGGCUAAAUUAGGUCUUGUUCCCCCUUUCCUCAAUCCUUCGCCGCCGCCAGAGAAAAUCCCCCUCUCUCUCCCCAAUCUUCCUCUCCCACAUCACCAUGGCCCGCCGCGCGCCACCACCCCGCCGUGCCCCUACCGGCCCUGCUCCACCGCGCCCUACCAGCCCUGCUCCGCCGCGUCGCCUCUUCUUCCCCUUCUCUACCACAUCGGUGACCCAAUCGGACCAUCCGGCGGUGGGCACGAUGUCCUCACGCGGAUCUGACUGCCGCCACUGUCGCCGCCUCCAUGCCACCUCGAGCUGCUCCUUGAUGCAGUUGUCCCCGACGAGCACCACCCCCACACGACUGUCGCUGACGAGCUACUCCCCGACGGCCACAUCCUCUCCUACACCGCGGGUACUACGGCGAUGACAAGGGCAUCCACUUACCUGCUAGAUCAAGAUCGCGUCCACCACCUUGACUUCACUCCGAAGGUUCUCUCCCUGUCUUUUGCUCUCUUGUUUAGGUAGUUGUAUAUGCUCUAAUGUGUUCGGUGUUCAGAUCUCACAAGCGAUGCUCAUCUUUGUGAUUUGCUUGUUAAGAAAUUAUACUGCUUCUUUCGGCUAGCUUGCCGUUGUUGCAGAAUAUCAGUUUGCCCUUUGCAACAUCCGCUCCUGCAGGUCUACUAGGUAAAUCUUUUUAGUAGCACAGGUCUUUCAGUUUACGUGUUUCAACUUGAACAUGAUGUCCAGAACCAGAACUUAAAAAUAGAACUUUCACAUACAUGCAGGUUGGCCAUGCUAGUACUCUCCUGCACUAGCAUUUUGUUAACUUAAAACAUAUUUCCUGACUGAAUGUUUUUGUGAUUUAAAGGUACCAAGGAAUGUUUAAAGACUACAUUGGUGUUUUCUAGCUUGGAGAAGCAACAUCAACUUGGGAUGCAGAUUCACCACUAUAUGUGCAUGCAUCUCAUAGGGGGAGAGAUCUUGUAUGGAUGUAAGACCAUUUUUCUUCUGUUAUAGAUUCUAGAGUGAUGCUCUGCUUAAAUUCGUAUCCAUGCAUAAAGUCAACAUCCAAUGAAAUAUGAGCAAAUUAUUUUAUCUCUAUUACUGUAAUUGUGAGCUAUGACAACCAUAUAAAUAGAUUUAGUAUAUUUUGAUUGCAUAGUUUCUUUUCUGCUAUUUGAAAUAUGAAUGUGUAUCUUUAAUCAUGACUGAAUAUGCAUUUUUAAGCAUGACUAGAACUGCGCUGAACAUGCAUGCUUAAUCGUGUAUUUUUUUCUGCAGCUAAAAUUCAGCUGAAGCUUUACAGAACUAGGGGAACACUAAUCCAUAGAGCUAUCAUUUCCUUUGCUUUGUUUUUCCUGUAGAAUAGAUUAAGCAUAAUCUGAGUGGUGUAUAUGCAACACAUUUCUUAAUGGCCAUGCAUGCAAUUAUAAUCUAUUUCUGUCAAGACUGGAAACCUCGAGACGGUGAUCAAAGAUUUGGUUGAAGGAAUCAGCAAACAGAUGUUUUAGAGGUAUGGUCUAUGUGUCAACUCUCAAAUGUCUAGUACUGCAAAAUUGUUGUAUGGCCAUGAUGGUGCUUUAUUUAUUUUUCUGUCUUUUGUGUAUACAGACCAAUACUUUGUUUUAAUUUUCAGUUACUUGCAAUCUUGCAUGUUAUUGCCAGCAUGAGUUUUGUAUGUCCAUGACUGUUGUGAUACUAUUAAUAUGAUGCAGAUUUGUGUUCUUAUGCAUGCUGCAGUAUUUUUGAUAUUUUAGAGAAGUGCUGAAUUUGUGACCAUUAUUUUCAGCAUCAUGUUGUGAGCUCUGAUGUUCCUCUCAAGACUUGGAUGGGCAACCUGAUGCAAGUUCUCAAGGGAUAUUUGGAGCAUGUACUUCUCAAGGCGAUGUGAUGCAUGUGUAGUUAAUUAACAGGUUGAUUGGAAGUGUUUUGAUCUAGCAACACUAGCUGAUAUGUGGUCUUGUCUAUAGCAAAUUCUAGAUUCAAAUUGCAGUGCUUAGACCAUUUUGCAACUUAAUCUAGCUUUUUUGGAUCGACGGGUGGUAUGAAUAUGUUGUAUGAUAAUGAAUAUUCAGUCAUCCAUGAAUUAUUUGAAUUAUAGCCGAUAUAUAUAUAUCCAAAUUUGGUGUAUUGUUGCUUUGGUUGUGAUUGUUUGUUGCAGCCUAUUUCUAGUAUUAAUAAAUGGUUGAUAUGAAUCCAAAUUUAUAUA
rnacentral:lncRNA from 1 species